UGCGGAAUUUUAGAUAACGGAGGGAACUCUGAUCUAGCGACGCCGCGUGCAGGAAGAAGGUCUUCGGAUUGUAAACUGCUGUGGUAAGGGAAAAAUGCUAUGUAGAGUGGAAAGCUAUAUAGAGGGAUGGUACCUUACUAGAAAGCCCCGGUUAACUACGUGCCAGCAGCCGCGGUAAUACGUAGGGGGCGAGCGUUACCCGGAAUCACUGGGCGUAAAGGGAGCGUAGGUGGCCUAACAUGUCAACUGUGAAAACCCGGAGCUCAACUCCGGACUUGCAGUUGAAACUGGUAGGCUUGAGGACGGUAGAGGAAGACGGAACUGCCAGUGUAGGGGUAAAAUCCUUAGAUAUUGGCAGGAACGCCGGUGACGAAGGUGGUUUUCUGGGCCGGUUCUGACACUGAUGCUCGAAAGCCAGGGGAGCGAACGG
rnacentral:rRNA from 1 species